UCUCAUUUUCCAGGUUGAAGCUGGCGUGGAGAAGAAAGGUCCUCACUUCAUGUUCACCACCUCUCACAUCUUCCUCUUUCAACCGAGAGGAGCCAGCUCCAAUACAAGGUCCAGGCUCAGCACUACUCCGAUUUCCCUGGCUGAUCCUUCGGGCUCCAAGAUUGUUACUUAAAGCAUCUUUGAAAACUGGUGAGCUGACAGCUGCGAAAUGAAAAGCUGCCCUUGUGAGGAAGCUGGAGAAGAACACGCUCAGUGUGCCCAGGAGGGAAAGGCGUGGUGCGCUCAAGGCCUGUGAGAACAGUGAAGCAGAGGCAGAAGGAAGGAGGGCAGGAGCCAGGGACCGGGAGGAAGUUUGCCUUCAAAACAAGACAAAGGAGAAAAUGGCGGCAGUGACUACUGGGAUGACUGAGAGGUAAGGACAGGGCUCUACCCCUGAGGCGGCACGGUGGCAAUUUUUGCGACCUGAGUGUGAGCUUUUGAAGGAGCAGCAGUGAUCGAAGCCAGGUUGAAUGGGCUUCAAGGUGACU